UGAAUAUGAUAACGCCUAUCACCCAGUUUCUUAGAGUGCAGACAUUAUUUAUUACAUAAUUAGUAGAUAUUUUCAUUAUGAAAUUAAUUUCAUUAAUUAAAUUCAAUUUCAUCAAGUACUUUCGUAACCUUGUGAUGACUUUUACAUGUUUUACCCACCGACCAAAUAAAACAAGUAAUUAUCCUAAAUCUUAGUAAAAAUCACUUUUUAACAAUAACAAACUACAUAACUGUAUAGGCACACUUAUCAAUGUCAUGCACUCUUAAUAAUCUGGUAAAGUCAUAUAGGUCAUGGUUUCUCGGUAAUAAAUUUGCCCUUCAAAAAAUCCUUUAUUAAUUCAAAACCGGGCAAUGUGUAUAUAUUACUCCUCCUCCGCGGAGUUAUAUUUUCCAUCGCAUUGUAUUAAUAUUGACACCAAACGGUAACCAAUAUUUUUUUCAAUGUGACAUUAAUAUUUUACUGGUUGGUAAUAAUGUGUUGCUGGGUUACUAUCAGACUGUAUAACUUAUCAUUGCCAUAACGGUAGAGUUAUAUCUUUUAUAUAUAAUUGUCCCACAAUGUAAUGUUUUAUUGUGAGAUUAUUUGCAGUGCAUUUGCUUGCUCACAUAAAUAGUUGCAUAAUAUAAUGCUGAUAUACACAUACCGGUACAAACUAAUAUCAUUGGUAUGUAUAAGUCGACGUAUUUUCCCGACGGAUAGAUUAUUCUUCUUCUUUAAUACUUGUCUGGAAAUCUUGCCCAAAACUGGUCCAAUGUCCAAGUUUACUGGAGAUUGUAGUGGGUGAAAUGCAGCCGUGCAUAUCAUUUUGGUCAAAUGUGUGCAUGUUUUAUGUUAUCUUAUAAAAUAACCUGAUUCUACAAAAUUAAGUUUCCUUCAUACUCCUCGAGACAUUGUAUCAUUUUUUUAUCAUUAUUAUAUUGCUAAGGAUCCCAAAUUGGGUAUCGUUUAGAAACAUGUAUGUGCAUUCAUAUUGCAAUGCUACCUAAAUAGCUUAAAUAAUUUAAGUUGGACUUUCCAUGUUAAAUAUAGCAGUAAUGAUGCAUAUCUGUAUGUCUGUAUGCAUGCUAAAUGUAUGUCAACUAACAGUAACUUGCAUCCAAUAAUCUCCAUUAAAAGUGAAAUGAAUGAAUGCAAGUUAUGCAUGUGUAUAGAACGAAUGAUAGACUGGACAUCACAAGUCACCUGCUCGCCUCUCGCUCGUAUGCAAAUGCAUGCAUGUAAAUUAUGUACCUGGAAUAGUAAAAUUCCAGGCAAGUGAAUGUAAAACUCCUUGUUUUCCAUGCACUUCUUGUACGUAAUAUGUAAUGUGUAAUGUAAUGUAAUGUGUGUAGGUAAGUUGUGUGUAUUUAACGUAAUGUAUGUAGAUCUGUAUUUAUUUAUAGAAAACCCAUUGUUCAGAACACAAUGAGUUUUACUUAUGAGAAAAUAACAUGAUGCAAAUUAUGAAAAGGCGGAUUCCCUGCGUCCGACCGAGGAUAUAAGGGCAGCCUCGACUCCAACCGCCACCACAACUGUGUCUAUAAUUAUUACAUGCAAGCUGUUUUGCACCAGCUUGCAUUACAAAGUCUCAAAUUGCCUCAAGUAAUAGACUGAGACAAAAAUAAAUCAAAUAUUUGGUCAAGUUACCCCUAACAUUUAAAUACAUACUACACAUUAAAUAAUGAGUGUAUAUCAACUCUACAAUAGUGUAAAUAAAUAAGUAUUUUUAGAUUGUUUUUACAUUAACCUUGUGUCCGAAUCUACUGAUUUCCCACAAAACUAAUCAUCACAUACAUAUAAAAAUAAUACACACUAAAAAAUAAACCAACCAAACCAUCUCACUAUUCGUCAUGAACAUAAACAGAUUCGAUGGGACAGACUAAUACUUAGUUUUAGCCGUGCGGGGUUACAAUGGUAUGGAGUGGUGGGUGAGUUAUGCUUCUGAUAAUAAAGAAGUGUGGAAAUGCAUCGGUUUGGCGAGGGCGUUGAAAAGGACGGUGACCAGGAGACCCUUCAUGGUUAUCAUUAAUGACCACGUCGGGCGAGAGAUGAGGUGAGAUUAUUGUAGCUUUUGGUGAAUAAUUGAUGCCAUGCACAAACUGGCAUCAACAAAUCUCAUCCAUAACUGCAUUUAUGUUUUCUGAAGUUACUCUCUUCAGAGAGAGGUGGACAAGGUGUGUGAUUUAAAAUCGCACGAGAAUUUGUAAUUCCGAUCGUUUGCAAGUUCAGGGGAUCGUAUCACCAGUCCGGAGUUUCCACUUUGCAAUCCGUACUUUUCAAUUAUUGCAAACUGUGGAGUGCAAAUCUGGAGCGUUUCACCGUGGCGAUGCAUUUUUGCAAUCUUCACUUCGCAAAUAACCUCAAAUUGCAAAGUAAUUUGCAAACACUCCACAAUCACAAAUUUGAGUCGUAAUUUUUUUCUCGCAUCUAUGUACAUAAGUGGUUCUAUCGCAAAAGAAUGCAAUAAAUUACAUACUUUGUCGAA